rnacentral:tRNA from 1 species
AUUUAUAUAGUUUAAAUAAAACAUUAUAUUUUCAAUAUAAAAUUAAUUAAUUCCAAUUUAUAAAUU